GUCUCCUUCGAGAAUUCUCCAUCGACAACCGCGUUUCUAGGGUUUCCACCGCCCUCGUCUUCCCCGCGACGCCUCCUUCCGAUCUCCCCGAUUCCCCGUUGGCCGAGCUCUCCUCCUACCGGUGCCGAUCUCUUGAAUCCGCAUCGAAGUCUCGCCCUCUGCCCGCUUUGUUUCACAUUGAUCGUUCCUGCGGCGAUCCGAGAUCUCGCGGUUCGAAGGCGUUGCGGGGUCUCUCCCAAGUUGGAUCGUUAUUGAUCUCCUACAACUAUCGUCUUUAGUUUCUGACCUUGAAACCAAGCAUAUUUCUUGCAAAGGUUGAACUUCUUUUUGCUAAAUCAAGAGCUUGUGGCGGAUUUGGGGAGAUGAAACCAGGCAAGGAAGGGCAGGACUCCCUGAACAACAUCAUUAGACAAGCAAUUGAUAAAGAAACACUUCUUUCAGUCUGUAGAACUGGUGAUAAUCUUGUUCACUGGAUUCAUUUACUCCAAUGCUCUAGACCAGUAGGAAAGCAGCAAUUUUUCUAAAGAUUAAUUGUUGGACAAUUUUGUAGGAGGAAAGGAUAGCAUUCUUGAACUUUGCAAAGGUGAGACUGCUGGCAUGAGUGAGGCUAUGGAAGAUAGUUGUUCUUCAAAGGAUAGUGACAGCACUAUCAAGGGGACUAAAACCUCAUCUGAACAGAUGCAAGCACUCAAAAUUCCUGAAGCUGUUCUAGCCUUUGCUCAAGCUGCUGCAAGGGCAAACGGUGAGCCUGAAAAAUAUCUUCCAGGAUGGCCUUUGUUCUCACCAGCUAAGGUGCAAUUGCAGAAAUGUGAAAAGUGUUCUCGAGAGUUUUGCUCUAUGAUAAAUUAUAGAAGACACAUACUUGUGCAUAGGCGUACCUUAAAGAUUGAUAAGGAUUUUCCAAGGAACAGGGAGUAUUUGGGUGCCUUCUGGGAUAAGCUAUCUUCGGAUAAGGCCGAAGAAAUUCUUUCUUUCACAAACAUGUCCAUAGAGGAGGUUAGCGGUGCUUCAAUCAUAAGGGUAUUGUCAUUGUGGAUUGGAAAACCAUUCUUUCAUUCUCUACCGCAAACAUAUGCAAAGGCUGGAUCUGCUUUAUUGGAUGUGAUCCAAGCAAGGCCUGCCAGCUCACCGAUAUGCUCCAAGAAACUCUUUAGUAUCCUUGAUGAUGCAAGUGAAAAUACUUUUUUGUGCACUGGCACAGCUGUGUCCUUGCAGAAGUUUGUGUUUGACGGUGAAGUAUCAAAGAUUGCACUGGAAAUGAAAAACCUCAUUGCUUGUAUUAGUUUCUUGCUUGAGCAGAAACUGGUCAAAUCAUGGGUUGCUGACAAGGAUGCUGAAGCUUUAAGAUGCCACAAGUUGCUCAUGGAGGAAGAGGAAGCUGCUCAGAGAAGGCAAGCUGAACUUCUGGAAAGGAAAAGAUUGAAGAAACUUAGGCAGAAAGAACAGAAAACAAAGGACUUAAUUGGUGUAGAAAAUAGGAUCGGUUCAAUUAGAAGUACAGACGGCAAAACUGAAUUCCCUGGGAGAUCAAGUUCAAGGACUUCAUCUCAUUCAGAUUUGAAUACCCCAGCAAUAUCAGAAAACCAAGUCCAUCAUUUUACUCCAUCAUUGGACCCUGUUAUGGCUACCGACUUCAGGAUGCAUGUGGAUACCGAGGUUGCAGUUCAGUAUAUUGUUCAAAAUCAGAUGAAUGACAAACAACAUCCUGUUUCCACGCAGCAUUUACUCUCCAAACCAAAAAAAACCAUUAAAAAUGGUUUUGGUACAUUUCAGGUCCCUGCUGCAAAAUUUUCAGGUCCAAAAAAAAAUGGUCUCUAUAAGGACACAAAGGCCGCUUCAUCAACCACUGGUUAUAAGAUUUGGACCCAGAAAAAUAGGCGAGAGGAGGUGCCAUAUGACAGAAUGGACAAGAUUCAUCCAGAUCAUUCGGUUUAUGUUGAUGGUUCGAAGGUUAUAAUUGGUUCAAUAUGUGUAGCACUUGGAAGCAGUGAUAGAUCUAAAUCUUCUCAAGGGAAGCUGGUCAAGCCUUGUACUAAACACAACAAUGUCAAAUCUUCAACAGGAAUGCUGUGGAAACCCGUGGGAUGCCAUGAAAGUGGGUAUGAAUUGACAACUAUAUCUGAUAUGAAGGACUAUAACUUGGAUGUGUCUUUGGCCAAAAAUUCUGACCAAGUUUCUCCCAGCGAGACCCAUCUUGCUUUAGUUGAGAAGAGAGACAGUGUUCCUGGGGCACAGCAGGACUCUUUGGCAGCCCAAACAAGUGCAGGGCCAUUGUUGUUCUCAAGCAAAAUUGCUGAGGCUUUUCUCACAGAGAGAUGGAAGGAGGCCAUUGCUGCAGAUCAUGUGAAGCUAGUUCUACCAUCUGAAACUGAAGCAUAUGAUAGCUGUGAUAAUCCCCAGUAUGAUUGCUCUGAGGAAAGGCCACAUUCUUAUGAUUGCCUUGGACAUGGCAAAUUUGGUAGCGGAGAAAAAGGUGGGGUGCCUGGAAUGGAUUUGAUCGAAUCUUCAUCCAAGCCUAAAUUUAGAACAAAGCCCGACAAAAAUUACAAACUAAAAUAUGUUGCGAAGCAACGGAGUACUGCUUUAGGUGAGUCAAACAGGAAGAUGGAAGGGAAAGAGGAAGAUGUGAGGUUGGGAGCAAACAAGUUCUCGGAGAGGCAGCCGAUAGGAACGGCAGCGCAGAGCGACAAGGACUACAAGGAACCUCCACCGGCUCCCUUGUUCGAGCCCGGGGAGCUCACCUCUUGGUCCUUCUACAGGGCUGGGAUAGCGGAGUUCAUGGCUACCUUCCUCUUCCUCUACAUCACCAUCCUCACGGUCAUGGGCGUGGUCAAGUCCAACAGCAAGUGCUCCACGGUGGGCAUCCAAGGGAUUGCCUGGGCCUUCGGUGGCAUGAUCUUUGCCUUGGUCUACUGUACCGCCGGGAUCUCUGGUGGCCACAUCAACCCCGCGGUGACCUUCGGGCUGUUCCUGGCGAGGAAGCUGUCGCUGACCAGGGCUCUGUUCUACAUGGUGAUGCAGUGCCUGGGCGCCAUCUGCGGUGCCGGUGUGGUCAAGGGGUACCAGAAGGGGCUCUAUGAGAGCAACGGUGGCGGAGCUAACGUCGUGGCUCCUGGCUACACCAAGGGUGAUGGCCUGGGUGCUGAGAUCGUCGGCACCUUCAUCCUCGUCUACACUGUUUUCUCUGCUACUGACGCCAAAAGAAACGCCAGGGACUCUCAUGUUCCCAUUUUGGCUCCCCUCCCCAUUGGGUUUGCCGUGUUCCUUGUCCACCUGGCUACCAUCCCCAUCACCGGCACCGGCAUCAACCCUGCCAGAAGCCUUGGCGCUGCCAUCAUCUACAACAAGAAGCAUGCCUGGGAUGAUCAUCCAAAACCUUGUCGGCAAGAUCGUGGACAGAGAGACCAAAAGGGGAGAAGGGCGAGACGGACGGAGAGGGAGAUGUGGCCGUUCAGCCGGAAGGGGGCGUCGGGGUUCUCCUGGUCAUCCACCGCGGAGGAGGUCACCGAAGGAUUAGAUGGGAGCGGCCUCACCGCCGUCGUCACAGGAGCAUCGAGUGGAAUUGGUGCUGAAACAGCCCGGGUUCUUGCACUUCGAGGUGUUCGCGUAGUUAUGGCGGUUAGGAAUUUGUCUUCAGGUGCCACAGUAAAGGACUCGAUUUUAAAGGAAAUUCCGGCUGCCGAGGUUGAUGUCAUGGAGUUGGAUCUUACUUCGAUGGCAUCAGUGAGAAAGUUUGCCUCUGAAUUCAAUUCCUUAAAUCUUCCUCUGAACAUCCUUAUCAACAAUGCAGGGGUAAUGGCAACUCCAUUCUCACUCUCUGAAGAUGGUAUUGAGCUGCAAUUUGCAACUAACCAUGUUGGCCAUUUUCUUCUGACUUACCUUCUAUUGGACAAUAUGAAGAAUGCAUCCCGUACAUCCAGAAUAGAAGGCAGGAUUGUUAAUGUUUCAUCAGAGGGGCAUAGAUUUGCAUACAGUGAAGGAAUUCGUUUUGAUAAAAUAAAUGAUCAGUCAGGAUACAACAGCAUUGGUGCCUAUGGGCAGUCAAAGCUUGCGAAUAUAUUGCACGCUAAUGAACUUGCAAAAUGCUUCAAGGAAGAGAAGGUGGAGAUAAUUGCCAAUUCUCUUCAUCCUGGAUCGAUUAUCACAAAUCUUCUUCGUUACCACAGUUUCAUAGAUGUCAUUGCUCGUACGCUCGGGAAGCUAGUGUUGAAAAAUGUGCAGCAGGGGGCAGCAACCACAUGCUACGUAGCGCUGCAUCCUCAAGUCAAGGAGGUGAGUGGCAGGUACUUUUGCGACAGCAAUUUAGCUGAGCCAAGUUCAAAAGCCAAGGAUGUGGACUUGGCGAAGAAACUGUGGGACUUCAGUGUAGAUUUAGUUACCUGAUAUGUUUGAAACCUAUGGUUAAUAGUAUAACAAGUAUUGCUUGUCAGAACAAAUAAAUACUUCCAAGGAUGUUAUUGUGGUUUGUUCUGGAUUUAAUUUAUCGAUAAAGGACGUGAGACCAUUUGGGUUUA